rnacentral:lncRNA from 1 species
CUCUCUUUUGGUGCUCAUGUUUGCGGGAAAGGCUUGCUUUUUUGACGAGGCUCUGAAUUACCACACCUCUACUCAGUAUGGAAGACCAACGAUUAAAAAAUAGGGAGCUGUAUAACAAAUGCUAUGUAGGUUUAGCUGGUUUUUUGGCCGUCUUAGUGCUCUUGAUUUAGUUCCAACGAAAUAUGUCUUCCCCAGGUAAAUUUUGUUGCAUCACUUUGGUAUAUGCAUAUUCAUUUAUUAUGCUAACUUUGCUUCAAAAAACUCGGUCGUACUAAAUCUAUUUUUGGAAACAUGGCCGUCAUCUAGGCAUGUUCAUAACAUGCCUCAUGAUCCAAUGAAAAUAUCACUCAUGAUGAAAAUAACUGUUCAAACUUACUAAUCUUGUAAUCUUAGCAUCAUAUGUUAAUGUAGAGUUUCCAAUGAAUUGUUUAAUAGCUUUGUACUAGGCAUAUAAAUAAAGGAUAGGCUUGCGAACUGGUGGCUCAACUUGGUUUUGGCUUAACCAAAAUCCUCCUUACAAACUGAAACCAGCUCAAGUAUCAAAUACAGACUUCAUCUCAAUUAGAAGGGUAUUUACUUUUAAGUCAAUGAAAGGUUAACUAAAAGAAAUCAAUCAAGAAAGCUGGAACUGGCUGAUAACUGAAAAUCAUUAAACUCUUGGACCUAAACAACAUCCCAUGAAACAGAGGAAACAAGAUUUGGUUAGACAUCAAGUAGGAUAUCUAUUUUAUCUCUGUCCUACGCACUAUGAUAAUCCAAAUGCACACAUGGGUAUGGACUAACAAUGGGAGAACGGGACUUACAACUUUGACACUAGGAAAAUUUUUUCCUACCUGCCCGCGUAUUGCUCGGUAGAAUUAAAAAGUGGUAGUAUCAAUGGGACUAGCAUAAUUAUAUCUUGGAAUGACCAGGAAAAGCGGAGGACAUUGUGGAUAAUCUUUGAUUGCUUAGCAAACCGUUGAUCACUCCAGGUCCAAAAGUCUAACAAGUGGACGCUUGGGAGUUGCAUGAUCUUCAGGAAUUGACUAGAAGGUCUUUGGAGAACCACAUUUAUGAUCAUGAAACUACAAAGGUU